GGUCUCGCUGUAUCUCAACGACCCAAACAAAGGGAAUCUCGAAGGCUAAGGAAUCAGAGAUAUCCCAAAAAAUUAUACUUAUCCUUUAGGAAUAUCUAAGAUAUCACAAUCAAAGAUCGCGGAAAACAAAAGAUAUUACACAAAAAAAGGAGAAAAUUAACUAGAAGCGGAAUCAUUGGGGAUAUACGACCCCCCGCCUUGAUCCACUAAAUCGUCUGAAACUUGAGGAAGAUCGAGCUCGGAGAUUGACCAAUCCGGCACGGCAGCUGAAGCAAGAGAUCCUUUAAACGAGCAAGCUCUGCAUCCACACU
rnacentral:lncRNA from 1 species